UACGGGGGGGGCAAGCGUUGUUCGGAAUUACUGGGCGUAAAGGGCUCGUAGGCGGCCAACUAAGUCAGACGUGAAAUCCCUCGGCUUAACCGGGGAACUGCGUCUGAUACUGGAUGGCUUGAGUUCGGGAGAGGGAUGCGGAAUUCCAGGUGUAGCGGUGAAAUGCGUAGAUAUCAGGAGGAACACCGGUGGCGAAGGCGGUUCUCUGGGCAUGUCCUGACGCUGAGGAGCGAAAGUGUGGGGAGCGAACAGG
rnacentral:rRNA from 1 species